rnacentral:rRNA from 1 species
AUGGCGUCCGAGGCGCUCGUCGUUCUCGCGCGCGUCCGCAGCGGCGGGAAAACGCCCAGCCUCUCCCCGCUCGCGACGCUGCUGCGCCUGCUGUUCGGCGAGGGCAACGUCCAGGCCGCGUGGAAGGUGUUCGUGGAAAUGACCGCGAUGGGGCCACGGUCGAGCCUCGCUGUCUUCAACGUCAUGGUCCUACGGUUAUGCCGCAGGGGCUCCGGGCUCUUCCCUGUAGCUGCGGGAUUGCUCGGUGUCAUGUGGAGGUUCCAUGUUAUCCCUGAUGCGUGCAGCUAUGACAUCCUGAUCAAGAAUUACUGCGUGUUUGGGCGGGCAGGGGAUGCUUUCCAGUUGUUUGACAAAAUGCACAGGGCAGGGGAUACUUUCCGGUUGUUUGACAAAAUGCAUAAGCCAGGGUGCGAGCCUGCUGUUGUGACGUAUAACAUUUUGUUGAAUGUAUGA